AUCCAGCUGACGAGUCCCAAAUAGGACGAA
rfam:Trichobilharzia regenti genome assembly, scaffold: TRE_scaffold0095917